CNGUGAAACWGCAGAUGGCUCAUUAAAUCAGUUAUAAUUUCUUUGAUGGUCGUAGUUUCUUUUUCUUUUUUCAUAUUUCGGUGUGGAAAGAGAGGAAUGAAAUACUAAAUGGAUAGCCGUACUAAUUGUGGAGCUAAUACAUGCACUGAUAAGACCUUUUUGGUUUUAUUAUUGAAAGAGUCUCAAUCCCAAGUCUCGAUUUGGGAGAGAGAUGUGUUUAUUAGACGCGAAACUAUGUCUCUUCGGAGGCUACGGUGAAUCACAAUAACCUGAUCGAAUCGCAUGUUCUUUCAUUUUGGAAGGAUGGCGAUAGUUCAUUCAAAUUUCUGCUUUAUCAACUUUUGUCGGGUGUAUAGAGGACAUCUGAGGUGAUAACGAAUGGCGGGGAAUAAGGGUUCGGUUCCGGAGAGGGCGCCUGAGAAAUGGCGACCACAUCCAAGGAAGGCAGCAGGCGCGCAAAUUACCCAAUCCUAACACAGGGAGGUAGUGACAAGAAAUAUCAAUACCGGGUUCUUUUAGAGCUUGGUAAUUGAAAUGAGUACAAUUUAAACCCCUUAACGAGGAUCAACUGGAGGGCAAGUCUGGUGCCAGCAGCCGCGGUAAUUCCAGCUCCAGUAGCGUAUAUUAAAGUUGUUGCAGUUAAAAAGCUCGUAGUUGGAUUUGUGGUGUGUUCAUUUGUGUGGCUCUCAACUCAGCUUCGGCUUAUUGUCGUUGUUGGUGUUGUUGUCACCAACACAUCAUCCUUGAUGGGAUUUAGAGUCAUUUCGACUUUUUAUUCUCAUCAUCCUUUACUUUGAAAAAAUUGGAGUGAUUCAAGCAGGCGAAAUACAACUCAUUUUACGUGAGUUAUUCAUUUUUGCUUCUGCACAUGUUAGCAUGGAAUAAUGCAAGAGGACUUGGGUUUUCUCUUUCAUUGGUUUCAGGAAUCCGAGUAAUGAUUGAUAGGGACAGUUGGGGGUGCUCAUAUUCGACGGCCAGAGGUGAAAUUCUUGGAUUCGUUGAGGAUGAACAACUGCGAAAGCAUUCACCAAGGAUGUCUUCUUUAAUCAAGAACGAAAGUUGGGGGAUCGAAGAUGAUCAGAUACCGUCGUAGUCCCAACCAUAAACGAUGCCGACCAGGGAUCAGCGAGCGUUGACUUUGCAUAUUUUUUAAUUUCGAUUAUGAAUAUUGCAAAUCUCAUUUAUUUGAAACGACCUCGUUGGCACCUUGCGAGAAAUCACCAGUCUUUGGGCUCCGGGGGGAGUAUGGUCGCAAGGCUGAAACUUAAAGGAAUUGACGGAAGGGCACAACCAGCAGUGGAGCCUGCGGUUUAAAUUGACUCAACACGGGGAAACUUACCAGGUCCAGACAUCAUAAGGAUUGACAGAUUGAAGAUCUUUCUUGAUUUGAUGGUUGGUGGUGCAUGGCCGUUCUUAGUUGGUGGAGUGAUUUGUCUGGUUAAUUCCGUUAACGAACGAGACCUCAACCUGCCAAAUAGGUUGGUGGAUUGUAAUGAUAUUUUAUUUUUUAUGAUUCACGUUGUGGUUUUGUGAUAAUUGUCAUUUUGAUGAUUGUUGCACCCAACUAAAUGAGAUUGGUUUUAUACCUUUCUUUAUUUACAACACUUCUUGGAGGGACUAUCAGUUCGCAUCUGAUGGAGGUUUGAGGCAAUAACAGGUCUGUGAUGCCCUUCGAUGUCCUGGGCUACACGCGCGCUACACUGAUACAUGCAUCAAGCAGUUCAUUGAAAAGUUGGUUCACCUCGAAUCACUUUGACACCUUUGCUGAUAGGCUUGGGGAAUCUUUGAACUUGUAUCGUGAUGGGGAUAGAUGAUUGCAAUUAUUCAUCUUCAACGAGGAAUUCCUAGUAAACGCGGCUCAUCAAGCCGCAUUGAAUACGUCCCUGCCCUUUGUACACACCGCCCGUCGCUGCUACCGAUUGAAUGGUUCAGCAAGCUCUACAGACUGGCUGCCUUUCUUGUCUUUUAUCGGAUGGGAACUUGGUGCCGGGAAGUGGCGCAAACUUGACCAUUUAGAGGAAGCAAAAGUCGUAACAAGGUUUCCGUAGGUGAACCUGCRGADGGAUC
rnacentral:rRNA from 1 species